rnacentral:rRNA from 1 species
AGUGAACGCUGGCGGUAGGCCUAACACAUGCAAGUCGAACGGCAGCACAGUAAGAGCUUGCUCUUACGGGUGGCGAGUGGCGGACGGGUGAGGAAUACAUCGGAAUCUACUUUUUCGUGGGCGAUAACGUAGGGAAACUUACGCUAAUACCGCAUACGACCUACGGGUGAAAGCAGGGGAUCUUCGGACCUUGCGCGAUUGAAUGAGCCGAUGUCGGAUUAGCUAGUUGGCGGGGUAAAGGCCCACCAAGGCGACGAUCCGUAGCUGGUCUGAGAGGAUGAUCAGCCACACUGGAACUGAGACACGGUCCAGACUCCUACGGGAGGCAGCAGUGGGGAAUAUUGGACAAUGGGCGCAAGCCUGAUCCAGCCAUACCGCGUGGGUGAAGAAGGCCUUCGGGUUGUAAAGCCCUUUUGUUGGGAAAGAAAAGCAGCAGGCUAAUACCCCGCUGUUCUGACGGUACCCAAAGAAUAAGCACCGGCUAACUUCGUG